rnacentral:rRNA from 1 species
CUCACACCGGUCUGAACUCAAAUCAUGUAAAACUUUAAAGGUCGAACAGACCUUCUCUUAUAGUCUCUACUCUAUAGAGAACCUUUAAUUCAACAUCGAGGUCGCAAACUCUCUUGUCGAUAAGAACUCUUAAAGAAAAUUACGCUGUUAUCCCUAAAGUAACUUAAUCUUCAAUCCCUUUUAGGAUCAAUAAUUCAAACAUUAUUGUAAGAACAAAAGACAGUUAUCCUUACCUUAUAUCCUUGUCGCCCCAACAAAACAAUUUAAAAUAGUAACCUUAAAAUAAAAUUAAUCUCCACCUUAAAAUAUAAAGUUUUAUAGGGUCUUAUCGUCCCCUUAGAUCAUUUAAGCCUUUUCACUCAAAAGUUAAAUUCAAUAUAUUAAUUUAAGACAGAUUAUUUCUUGUCCAACCAUUCAUUCUAGCCUUCAAUUAAAAAACUAAUGAUUAUGCUACCUUUGCACGGUCAUAAUACCGCGGCCUUUCAGUUCUCCAAC